rnacentral:tRNA from 2 species
GCCGGGAUGGCGGAACUGGUAGACGCAGAGGACUCAAAAUCCUCCGUUCGCAAGGGCAUGAGAGUUCAAUUCUCUCUCCCGGCA